rnacentral:tRNA from 1 species
GCCAAGUUAGUUUAUUUAAAACAUCAAUCUGUGGAGUUGAAAAUGAAAGUACUUUUACUUGGUC